CCCUUAGAUGGCCUGGGCUGCACGCGGGCUACAAUGGUAUAUUCAGCGUGAGUUGUUUACCGAAAGGUAGAUCAAAUCUUCAAAUUAUACCGUACUUGGGAUUGGACAUUGCAAUUGUUGUCCAUGAACGAGGAAUUCCUAGUAAGUGCAUGUCAUUAGCGUGCGCUGAUUACGUCCCUGCCCUUUGUACACACCACCCGUCGCUCCUACCGAUUGGGUGCUGGGGUGAACAUUGUGGAGAUUUGAGCUUCGGCUUGGUCAAAGCAAUGUGAAUCUUGCCGCCUAGAGGAAGGAGAAGUCGUAACA
rnacentral:rRNA from 1 species